CCUUUAAUUAAACCUCCAACCCCCUUUAAUUAAACCUCCAACCCCCUUUAAUAAAUCAACACCCCCUCUUUAAUCCACCCCUUUACUUAAACCUCCACACCCCCUUUAAUUAAUCCACCCCCUUUAAUUAAACCUCCAUCCCCCUUUAAUUAAUCCCCCCUUUAAUUCUUUAAUUAAUCCACCCCCUCUUUAAUUAAUCCACACCCCCCCUUUACUUAAAUCUCCCCCCUUUAAUUCUUUAAUUAAUCCCCCUUUUAAUUAAUUCAGCCCCAGACAUAAAAUAACUACUUACAUUUUGAUGAUGCCUUCCUUGCCUCCGAGUCCGACCACUGGGUGCCUCACCGCCCGUCUUUUUCACUGGUUUUUCUUUUUUUCUCUUUUGCUUAUAUUUUUGUAGUGAGAUAUUUACAAAACCAUAUGUUUUUUCCAACAGAAUGCAUUAUACACCGUGUAACCUAGGAUCAUAGGAAACC